rnacentral:rRNA from 1 species
GAUGAACGCUGGCGGCGUGCCUAAUACAUGCAAGUCGAGCGAACAGACGAGGAGCUUGCUCCUCUGACGUUAGCGGCGGACGGGUGAGUAACACGUGUAUAACCUACCUAUAAGACUGGGAUAACUUCGGGAAACCGGAUCUAAUACCGGAUAAUAUAUUGAACCGCAGGGUUCAUUAGUGAAAGACGGUUUUGCUGUCACUUAUAGAGGGAUCCGCGCCGCAUUAGCUAGUUGGUAAGGUAACGGCUUACCAAGGCAACGAUGCGUAGCCGACCUGAGAGGGUGAUCGGCCACACUGGAACUGAGACACGGUCCAGACUCCUACGGGAGGCAGCAGUAGGGAAUCUUCCGCAAUGGGCGAAAGCCUGACGGAGCAACGCCGCGUGAGUGAUGAAGGUCUUCGGAUCGUAAAACUCUGUUAUUAGGGAAGAACAAAUGUGUAAGUAACUAUGCACGUCUUGACGGUACCUAAUCAGAAAGCCACGGCUAACUACGUG